GGAGAGGUGCCCGAGUGGCUAAAGGGGACGGACUGUAAAUCCGUUGGCUUAUGUCUACGUAGGUUCGAAUCCUACCCUCUCCACCA
rnacentral:tRNA from 1 species